UUGUACUCAGAAGUCAAUUCUCAUUACUCACAAACUCAAAUAUGCUCCAAUUGCGCUCACAACCAGAGGAUGAGCAAUAAAGUCCAAGUAAGCGCCUUGCAAGCUUUGUAAGCUCAGGUGUAGAGCUUCCAUGUUUUUCCCACCAAACGACUA